rnacentral:misc_RNA from 1 species
UCCGGUUUGUCACCGGCAGUCUCCCAUGAGUCCCCGGCAUAACCCGCUGGCAACACAAGACAAGGGUUGCGCUCGUUGCGGGACUUAACCCAACAUCUCACGACACGAGCUGACGACAACCAUGCACCACCUGUGCACGGACCUUGCGGGGGAACCAUCUCUGGAACUUUCCCGUGCAUGUCAAGCCUUGGUAAGGUUCUUCGCGUUGCAUCGAAUUAAUCCGCAUGCUCCGCCGCUUGUGCGGGCCCCCGUCAAUUCCUUUGAGUUUUAGCCUUGCGGCCGUACUCCCCAGGCGGGACACUUAAUGCGUUAGCUUCGGCACGGACAACGUGGAAUGUCGCCCACACCUAGCGCCCAACGUUUACAGCGUGGACUAC